UUUUUCCUGCAACUCUCACUGGACGUCUGAAGCUUUGCAAGAUCUUUCUAGACAUGUGAAGCUUUGCAAGGUAUUUCUGAUUCUGACUUCAUCCAGAUUAAGUACUUCAACAAUGGAUUUAGACGUUAUAUAUCCUAUGCUUUUAAAUAAGUGAAAUUUAGAAUCCUAUGUUCAUCUAUGAGGCUCGGAUCGUUUGAAUAUUCUCUAAAGUUCGCUACUAUACUUUUAAGUGAUUGAAAUGGCUAAAGAAAUAAGAUAAGGACUUGAAAGAAGUUUAGAGGGAAGACUUGGAUCAAACUUUCUCAUGCAUCGAGAUGGCCUUUAAAUAGGAAAUACAUGGGACUUGACUCAACUAGCCUACUGAUUCAUGAGGAAAUAGAAGACAACUGGGAUGGGAAGAGAUAAUCAAGAAGGGUGGAUAUAUCAGCUUAUUCGGGAUCAGGUGCGAAUGAUCGUCAUAUGCUAAUGCCUACUUUAUAUAACUAAUACCUGGAAAAUAUUGAAUAUGCUGUUGUACAUUGUAUCAAACACAUAAUACACUUGGAUUUUCUUUUAUUGUAUGUGCCUAAAUAAUGGCUAACUUGGUUGUAUCUGGAGUUGAUAAUACUUUUGUUGAUUUACUACUUUGAGUAUGUGAAUAUACGGUUUUGCCGCCGCAAAGCGCGGCAUGGCUA
rnacentral:lncRNA from 1 species